AACGCUGGCGGCGUGCUUAACACAUGCAAGUCGAACGGAAAGGCCUGCUUGCAGGGUACUCGAGUGGCGAACGGGUGAGUAACACGUGGGUGAUCUGCCCUGCACUUCGGGAUAAGCCUGGGAAACUGGGUCUAAUACCGGAUAGGAGCCAUUUUUAGUGUGAUGGUUGGAAAGUUUUUUCGGUGUAGGAUGAGCUCGCGGCCUAUCAGCUUGUUGGUGGGGUAAUGGCCUACCAAGGCGGCGACGGGUAGCCGGCCUGAGAGGGUGGACGGCCACAUUGGGACUGAGAUACGGCCCAGUCUCCU
rnacentral:rRNA from 1 species